CCAGGCAGAUGGCAGUCUGCCCAGCCUGAGAACUGUUUAUGCUGAGCGCAGUAUGGAAUUCCUCUUGUAAGUCCUCCGGGGAAAUUCCUGGGAAAAUCUGUGGCCUUCUAAGGCAAAGACUUUAGACACUGAAGGGGAGAAGAGCGUUUGUGUGGCAAGAGCAGCACACUUCAGGAGGAGGUGAUGACCAGCAUGGGGACUGCAAAGAGACUCCGUGAGGCCAAAGAAAAGGCGACUUCCUCAGCUUGCAUGCAAUCAUUAUCCUCACAUCAUGGGUAUGGAAAGCAAGCACAGAGAGGUGAAAUCGUCUGCCCAAGGAUACAAGGAAAUGGCUACAUACACUUAUUGUGGGCAAUUUUCUAAGUCAGACUGUUUGCGAGGCAUGUUAAAGAACAUCUCAGUUACUUAAUAAAAAAUAAAGAAUGCCCUCGUUCCCAAGGAAGAGCAUCUCGGGCCGUGCAUCACUCAGCUCACAGGCCAGCUGACCGUGGCUCGUCUCUGCGCCUGGACACAGGUGGUGGGGACACAGGUCUGCCUGCAGCCGUGCCCCGCUGCUUGCACGGAGACAUCACAAAAAGGAAGGCUUCCCUGAGAAGACCAACAACGGUGAAGGCUGCCUUAAGGAACCUCUUGCAUCCUAGGAAUAGCUAUGUGCCGGUGGCUAGAAUGUAUCUGCCCUCCCCAGAUCAGCACUCCCCAUGCUUCUGUGCUCACCAAAGAGGGCAUGAAGUUUGAGUCACCAGGUGCGCUGCUUUCUAGCUUUCUAGCUGAGCAACACCUGCUCAGUUCAAAGGUAUGCCCUCCCUUCUUGUUUCCACUCUCUUACUAUGA